AUUGAACGCUGGCGGCAUGCUUUACACAUGCAAGUCGAACGGUAACAGGCCGCAAGGUGCUGACGAGUGGCGAACGGGUGAGUAAUGCAACGGAACGUGCCCAGUCGUUGGGGAUAACUACUCGAAAGAGUAGCUAAUACCGCAUACGAUCUAAGGAUGAAAGCGGGGGACCGCAAGGCCUCGCGCGAUUGGAGCGGCCGAUGUCAGAUUAGGUAGUUGGUGGGGUAAAGGCUCACCAAGCCAACGAUCUGUAGCUGGUCUGAGAGGACGACCAGCCACACUGGGACUGAGACACGGCCCAGACUCCUACGGGAGGCAGCAGUGGGGAAUUUUGGACAAUGGGCGCAAGCCUGAUCCAGCAAUGCCGCGUGCAGGAAGAAGGCCUUCGGGUUGUAAACUGCUUUUGUACGGAACGAAACGGCUCUGGUUAAUACCCGGGGCUAAUGACGGUACCGUAAGAAUAAGCACCGGCUAACUACGUG
rnacentral:rRNA from 1 species